CCUACGGGUGGCUGCAGUGGGGAAUCUUGCGCAAUGGGCGAAAGCCUGACGCAGCCAUGCCGCGUGAAUGAUGAAGGUCUUAGGAUUGUAAAAUUCUUUCACCGGGGACGAUAAUGACGGUACCCGGAGAAGAAGCCCCGGCUAACUUCGUGCCAGCAGCCGCGGUAAUACGAAGGGGGCUAGCGUUGCUCGGAAUUACUGGGCGUAAAGGGCGCGUAGGCGGAUCGUUUAGUCAGAGGUGAAAUCCCAGGGCUCAACCCUGGAAUUGCCUUUGAUACUGGCGAUCUUGAGUGUGAGAGAGGUAUGUGGAACUCCGAGUGUAGAGGUGAAAUUCGUAGAUAUUCGGAAGAACACCAGUGGCGAAGGCGACAUACUGGCUCAUUACUGACGCUGAGGCGCGAAAGCGUGGGGAGCAAACAGGAUUAGAUACCCGUGUAGUCUAC
rnacentral:rRNA from 1 species